AAUUAUUUUUUGUAUCUUUUAUGACACUAAAUAACUGUCACGGAAAGUGAAAUUCGAAAAAUUUCGUCUUCUUCCACAAAAAACGCGGAUUUUUAGCUUCGUGACAGUUUUUUAUUUCCUCCUUUCAAUUUGGGAGGUAUAUAACUGUCAUAGUUUUUCUUGUAGUGCUUACUAAAGAAAUUCACAUGUUACCCUAUAUUCAAUCCACACUUACCAAUGAACUAGUUUUUGGUGCAUAUUAUUUUAUGCAGGUUUGUUGUUGAGGAGCACCUUAAAUUUCUUUGUUAAAGGGUUUUUAGUCUUUGAUCGAUCUUGUUGUCUUCUUUCUUUGUAUGACCCAAUCCUUACAAGAUCAAAAUUUUUUGAUACAUGUUUCUCUUUAAACUAUGACUAAAGAAAAGGAAGACUAGAGAGCGAAGAAGUUCUCAAGAAGAAGUUUUGGAGAAGGCACAUUUGAAGAAGAGCAUUCAAAAGAAGAACUGAAGUUGAGAUUAUGGCUAAACCUAAGCCAGAAUAUACUUUCAGUGGAUGAUGAUAGCGCCAUCGGCAUUGUGUAUGCCAAAAGACAUACUCUAGUCUUAUUUUGGAUCGCAUGCUUCUGCCUUCGUCAUUUGAGCUUCUUUUACAAAUGCCACCAACACCAACGUCAAAAUGAAAAAACUUGUCAUUGAAAAGAACGUUCUUCAUUUUAGGGGAUUAUUUUGAGAGAACAGUAAUAUGUGUGAGCUGAGAAAGACAAUUGGAUUGUAUUGUAUUUUCUAAAUGAUUCAACCAUUAUUUUAUAGACUUGUAUCAUCAAGUA